rnacentral:lncRNA from 1 species
CAUCAGAUAACUCUUCAAGACACUGGGGCAUAGCACAAUAAAGAACAAAAAGAGAAGAUAAUUUUGUAACUCUUUACAGCAGUGAUGGGAAACUAAUACAUGCCUGAUAUAAAUAGGGGUCUUGGAAAAGGAACUACUGGAACUGAAUUAUUUGAUCAUGAAAAUACAAUUUCACUGUCAAUGCCAACCUGGGAUGGUAGAAAGACCAUGGAAUCUCAAUGGAAUUGGAAUUCCAGUGUUCUUCUUACAAGGGCUCCAUCAUCACUUGUUGAGCCAAAAUUUACGAGAGUGCCUCUAGUACCAAAUACAGCUAAGACACAGUCCUUCCUCUCUAGGACGUUUCUCCAUUGUUUGCAAGGAUGGUUAAGUCUUUAUCAUCUCAAGAAAUGA